rnacentral:rRNA from 1 species
AACGAACGCUGGCGGCAUGCCUAACACAUGCAAGUCGAACGAGACCUUCGGGUCUAGUGGCUCACGGGUGCGUAACGCGUGGGAACCUGCCCUUAUGUUCGGAAUAACUCCCCGAAAGGGGUGCUAAUACCGGAUAAUGUCUUCUGACCAAAGAUUUAUCGCCUUUGGAUGGGCCCGCGUUGUAUUAGCUAGUUGGUAGUGUAAAAGCCUACCAAGGCGACGAUCCAUAGCUGGUCUGAGAGGAUGAUCAGCCACACUGGGACUGAGACACGGCCCAGAAUCCUGCGGGAGGCAGCAGUGGGGAAUCUUGCAAAACGGGCGAAAGCAUGAUCCAGCAAUGCCGCGUGAGUGCUGAAGGCCUUAGGGUUGUAAAGCUCUUUUACCCGGGAUGAUACUGACAGUACCGGAAGAAUAAGCUCCGGCUAACUCCGUG